rnacentral:rRNA from 1 species
CCUACGGGGGGCAGCAGUCGAGAAUCAUUCACAAUGGGGGAAACCCUGAUGGUGCGACGCCGCGUGGGGGAAUGAAGGUCUUCGGAUUGUAAACCCCUGUCAUGUGGGAGCAAAUUAAAAAGAUAGUACCACAAGAGGAAGAGACGGCUAACUCUGUACCAGCAGCCGCGGUAAUACAGAGGUCUCAAGCGUUGUUCGGAAUCACUGGGCGUAAAGCGUGCGUAGGCUGUUUCGUAAGUCGUGUGUGAAAGGCGCGGGCUCAACCCGCGGACGGCACAUGAUACUGCGAGACUAGAGUAAGGGAGGGGGAACCGGAAUUCUCGGUGUAGCAGUGAAAUGCGUAGAUAUCGAGAGGAACACUCGUGGCGAAGGCGGGUUCCUGGACAUUAACUGACGCUGAGGCACGAAGGCCAGGGGAGCGAAAGGGAUUAGAUACCCCAGUAGUC